GAUGAACGCUGGCGGCGUGCCUAAUACAUGCAAGUCGAGCGAACAGACGAGGAGCUUGCUCCUCUGACGUUAGCGGCGGACGGGUGAGUAACACGUGGAUAACCUACCUAUAAGACUGGGAUAACUUCGGGAAACCGGAGCUAAUACCAGAUAAUAUAUUGAACCGCAUGGUUCAAUAGUGAAAGACGGUUUUGCUGUCACUUAUAUAUGGAUCCGCGCCGCAUUAGCUAGUUGGUAAGGUAACGGCUUACCAAGGCAACGAUGCGUAGCCGACCUGAGAGGGUGAUCGGCCACACUGGAACUGAGACACGGUCCAGACUCCUACGGGAGGCAGCAGUAGGGAAUCUUCCGCAAUGGGCGAAAGCCUGACGGAGCAACGCCGCGUGAGUGAUGAAGGUCUUCGGAUCGUAAAACUCUGUUAUUAGGGAAGAACAAAUGUGUAAGUAACUAUGCACGUCUUGACGGUACCUAAUCAGAAAGCCACGGCUAACUACGUG
rnacentral:rRNA from 1 species